rnacentral:rRNA from 1 species
ACUCAAUAGAUACCCAGGUAGUCCACGCCCUAAACGAUGUCUACUAGUUGUCGGUCUUAAUUGACUUGGUAAACGCAGCUAAACGCGUGAAGUAGACCGCCUGGGGAGUACGGUCGCAAGAUUAAAACUCAAAGGAAUUGACGGGGACCCGCACAAGCGGUGGAUGAUGUGGAUUAAAUUCGAUGCAACGCGAAAAACCUUACCUACCCUUGACAUGGAUGGAAUCCCUGGGAGAUUGGGAGUGCUCGAAAGAGAACCAUUACACAGGUGCUGCAUGGCUGUCGUCAGCUCGUGUCGUGAGAUGUUGGGUU